rnacentral:lncRNA from 1 species
ACCAGAGAAAGAUAUUAGGCAAUGCAAUGAAAACACUCCCCAUAACAUCAACUGGACAAAUCACGUAAAGAAAUUGCUCACCAAGUUGUUGCACCCAAAACAUUAACCUAAUAGCACAACCAGAGCAGCAGAAAUUAGGAGAGACUCAACCAGUUUUUCGCCCUUGGCCUGAGUGAAGUACCCAAGACCUAGCUAUCAAUCAAGUACGAAGAACCAAACUCCCCACACCACAACCAAGAAAGCAAAAAAUAAAAACAAACAACCCAAAAAAAGUAAGAAAGAAAACCUUCCCUCAAAAGAGGAGCUCCUACACAAGGCUGUUGCGCUUAAGACACAAUCCGAACAUAUGGAAGACCAUGAUUGUCAUCCCGAAUCACCUGCAGAAUAUCAGGGAUGGCAAAAUGCCAAAAACCCACCUCAGCCACCGAAGAAGCCAGGAAGUCAGUAGCCCGGUUUCCCUCACGAAAG